UACAUCGAAGUAUCUGUUCAUAUCGCCGC
rnacentral:sRNA from 1 species